rnacentral:rRNA from 1 species
CCUACGGGAGGCAGCAGUGAGGAAUAUUGGUCAAUGGGCGUAAGCCUGAACCAGCCAAGUCGCGUGAGGGAUGAAGGUUCUAUGGAUCGUAAACCUCUUUUAUAAGGGAAUAAAGUGUGGGACGUGUCCUGUUUUGUAUGUACCUUAUGAAUAAGGAUCGGCUAACGCCGUGCCAGCAGCCGCGCGAAUACGGAGGAUCCGAGCGUUAUCCGGAUUUAUUGGGUUUAAAGGGUGCGUAGGCGGCCUUUUAAGUCAGCGGUGAAAGUCUGUGGCUCAACCAUAGAAUUGCCGUUGAAACUGGGAAGCUUGAGUGUGUUUGAGGCAGGCGGAAUGCGUGGUGUAGGGGUGAAAUGCGUAGAUAUCAGGAAGAACCCCGGUGGCGAAGGCGGCCUGCCAGGCCAUGACUGACGCUGAUGAACGAAAGCGUGGGGAUCAAACAGGAUUAGAUACCCUUGUAGUC